ACAAGCGGUGGAGUAUGUGGUUUAAUUCGAUGCAACGCGAAGAACCUUACCUGGUCUUGACAUCCCGGAGACCCUUAGGAAACUAGGGGUGCUUCCAUCUGGAAGAAUCUGGAGACAGGUGCUGCAUGGCUGUCGUCAGCUCGUGUCGUGAGAUGUUGGGUUUAAGUCCCGCAACGAGCGCAACCCUUGCCUUUAGUUGCCAGCAGUUCGGCUGGGCACUCUAAAGGGACUGCCGGUGUUAAACCGGAGGAAGGUGGGGAUGACGUCAAGUCCUCAUGGCCUUUAUGACCAGGGCUACACACGUACUACAAUGGCCGAUACAAAGGGCAGCGACACUGCGAGGUGAAGCCAAUCCCGUAAAAUCGGUCUCAGUCCGGAUUGGAGUCUGCAACUCGACUCCAUGAAGUUGGAAUCGCUAGUAAUCGUGGAUCAGCAUGCCACGGUGAAUACGUUCCCGGGCCUU
rnacentral:rRNA from 1 species